CCCUUAGAUGUCCUGGGCUGCACGCGCGCUACACUGAUGUGUCCAGUAAGCACCUAACCUCUUCCGAAAGGAACGGGUAACCUUUGCAAAGCACAUCGUGAUGGGGAUAGAUUAUUGCAAUUAUUAGUCUUGAACGAGGAAUUCCUAGUAAGCACAAGUCAUCAGCUUGUGUUGAUUACGUCCCUGCCCUUUGUACACACCGCCCGUCGCUCCUACCGAUUGAAUGUUCCGGUGAGCUCUUCGGACUGCGCGGUCUGCAGUUUCUGCGUUCCGUGCGGAAAGUUGCGCAAACCUUAACAUUUAGAGGAGGGAGAAGUCGUAACA
rnacentral:rRNA from 1 species